ACAGGAGCUCUUCUAAAGCGAGCAUGGCCGGUCCUGGUUCGACCCAGAAGAGAAAUAACUUUCUUGAAUUUAGAAACGGCAACAUCUGCAGCUGCCUUGCAAUCCAUGUCUAUAUCCAUUGAAGAUCUUGAGGUCGAAGAAGGUGAUGAUGAAGAUUGAAGCUUUUCUUGAUUUUGCUGCGAGAGCAAUCUGAUGAGCUUGUUGACACUCUCGAGACCUGAAGCAGCCUCUUGGACUGCGUUCUC
rnacentral:misc_RNA from 1 species